rnacentral:rRNA from 1 species
UACGAAGGGGGCUAGCGUUGCUCGGAAUCACUGGGCGUAAAGGGUGCGUAGGCGGGUCUUUAAGUCAGGGGUGAAAUCCUGGAGCUCAACUCCAGAACUGCCUUUGAUACUGAAGAUCUUGAGUUCGGGAGAGGUGAGUGGAGCUGCGAGUGUAGAGGUGAAAUUCGUAGAUAUUCGCAAGAACACCAGUGGCGAAGGCGGCUCACUGGCCCGAUACUGACGCUGAGGAGCGAAAGCGUGGGGAGCGAACAGG